CCUACGGGAGGCAGCAGUGGGGAAUCUUGGACAAUGGGCGCAAGCCUGAUCCAGCCAUGCCGCGUGAGUGAUGAAGACCUUAGGGUCGUAAAGCUCUUUCGCCAGAGAUGAUAAUGACAGUAUCUGGUAAAGAAACCCCGGCUAACUCCGUGCCAGCAGCCGCGGUAAUACGGAGGGGGUUAGCGUUGUUCGGAAUUACUGGGCGUAAAGCGCGCGUAGGCGGACUAGUCAGUCAGGGGUGAAAUCCCGGGGCUCAACCCCGGAACUGCCUUUGAUACUGCUAGUCUAGAGUUCGAGAGAGGUGAGUGGAAUUCCGAGUGUAGAGGUGAAAUUCGUAGAUAUUCGGAGGAACACCAGUGGCGAAGGCGGCUCACUGGCUCGAUACUGACGCUGAGGUGCGAAAGUGUGGGGAGCAAACAGGAUUAGAUACCCUGGUAGUCCACACCGUAAACGAUGAAUGCCAGUCGUCGGGUAGCAUGCUAUUCGGUGACACACCUAACGGAUUAAGCAUUCCGCCUGGGGAGUACGGUCGCAAGAUUAAAACUCAAAGGAAUUGACGGG
rnacentral:rRNA from 1 species